AAUGAAGAAGUUUAAAACGUUAGAUUGUAAAUUUAAAAUCGCGAUAAUAUUCGCCUUUAUUA
rnacentral:tRNA from 1 species